ACUCCUACGGGAGGCAGCAGUGGGGAAUAUUGCACAAUGGGCGCAAGCCUGAUGCGAGCCCAUGCCGCGUGUAUGAAGAAGGCCUUCGGGUUGUAAAGUACUUUUCAGCAGUGAGGAAGGUGGACUAUGUUAAUAGCAUAUUCAUUUUGUACGUUAGCUGCAGAAGAAGCACCGGCUAACUCCGUGCCAGCAGCCGCGGUAAUACGGAGGGUGCGAGCGUUAAUCGGAAUUACUGGGCGUAAAGCGCAUGCAGGUGGUUUGUUAAGUCAGAUGUGAAAGCCCGGGGCUCAACCUCGGAAUUGCAUUUGAAACUGGCAAACUAGAGUACUGUAGAGGGGGGUUAGAAUUUCAGGUGUAGCGGUGAAAUGCGUAGAGAUCUGAAGGAAUACCGGUGGCGAAGGCGGCCCCCCUGGGACCAGAUACUGACACUCAGAUGCGAAAGCGUGGGGGAGCAAACGAGGAUUAGAUACCCUGGUAGGCUCU
rnacentral:rRNA from 1 species